rnacentral:rRNA from 1 species
AGUGAACGCUGGCGGUAGGCCUAACACAUGCAAGUCGAACGGCAGCACAGGAGAGCUUGCUCUCUAGGUGGCGAGUGGCGGACGGGUGAGGAAUACAUCGGAAUCUGCCCAGUCGUGGGGGAUAACGUAGGGAAACUUACGCUAAUACCGCAUACGACCUUCGGGUGAAAGAGGGGGAUCGCAAGACCUCUCGCGAUUGGAUGAGCCGAUGUCGGAUUAGCUAGUUAGCGGGGUAAUGGCCCACCAAGGCGACGAUCCGUAGCUGGUCUGAGAGGAUGAUCAGCCACACUGGAACUGAGACACGGUCCAGACUCCUACGGGAGGCAGCAGUGGGGAAUAUAGGACAAUGGGCGCAAGCCUGAUCCAGCCAUACCGCGUGGGUGAAGAAGGCCUUCGGGUUGUAAAGCCCUUUUGUUGGGAAAGAAAUCUUUCAGGCUAAUACCCUGGGAGGAUGACGGUACCCAAAGAAUAAGCACCGGCUAACUUCGUG